GUAGGGAAUAUUGGACAAUGGGCGAAAGCCUGAUCCAGCCAUGCCGCGUGAUAGAUGAAGGCCCUCUGGGUUGUAAAUAUCUUUUAUCUGGGAAGAAACUCCUCUAUUCUUAGAGGCCUGACGGUACCAGAGGAAUAAGCACCGGCUAACUCCGUGCCAGCAGCCGCGGUAAUACGGAGGGUGCAAGCGUUAUCCGGAUUCACUGGGUUUAAAGGGUGCGUAGGCGGGUUGAUAAGUCAGUGGUGAAAGCUCCGGGCUUAACUUGGAAACUGCCAUUGAUACUGUCAAUCUUGAAUGUCGUAGAGGUAAGCGGAAUGUUGCAUGUAGCGGUGAAAUGCUUAGAUAUGUUACAGAACACCAAUUGCGAAGGCAGCUUACUAUGCGAUAAUUGACGCUGAGGCACGAAAGCGUGGGGAGCAAACAGGAUUAGAUACCCCUGUAGUCC
rnacentral:rRNA from 1 species